rnacentral:rRNA from 1 species
GCAAGUCGAGCGGAAACGACACUAACAAUCCUUCGGGUGCGUUAAUGGGCGUCGAGCGGCGGACGGGUGAGUAAUGCCUAGGAAAUUGCCUUGAUGUGGGGGAUAACCAUUGGAAACGAUGGCUAAUACCGCAUAAUGCCUACGGGCCAAAGAGGGGGAACCUUCGGCCUCUCGCGUCAAGAUAUGCCUAGGUGGGAUCAGCUAGUUGGUGAGGUAAUGGCUCACCAAGGCGACGAUCCCUAGCUGGUCUGAGAGGAUGAUC